rnacentral:rRNA from 1 species
GAUGAACGCUGGCGGCGUGCCUAAUACAUGCAAGUCGAGCGAACGGACGAGAAGCUUGCUUCUCUGAUGUUAGCGGCGGACGGGUGAGUAACACGUGGAUAACCUACCUAUAAGACUGGGAUAACUUCGGGAAACCGGAGCUAAUACCGGAUAAUAUUUUGAACCGCAUGGUUCAAAAGUGAAAGACGGUCUUGCUGUCACUUAUAGAUGGAUCCGCGCUGCAUUAGCUAGUUGGUAAGGUAACGGCUUACCAAGGCAACGAUGCAUAGCCGACCUGAGAGGGUGAUCGGCCACACUGGAACUGAGACACGGCCCAGACUCCUACGGGAGGCAGCAGUAGGGAAUCUUCCGCAAUGGGCGAAAGCCUGACGGAGCAACGCCGCGUGAGUGAUGAAGGUCCUCGGAUCGUAAAACUCUGUUAUUAGGGAAGAACAUAUGUGUAAGUAACUGUGCACAUCUUGACGGUACCUAAUCAGAAAGCCACGGCUAACUACGUG